rnacentral:rRNA from 1 species
GUGUCAGCAGCCGCGGUAAGACAGAGGUGCCGAGCGUUAGGCGGAAUCACUGGGCUUAAAGCGUGUGUAGGCGGGUCGUUAAGUGUCUUGUGAAAUCCCACCGCUCAACGGUGGAACCGCUGGGCAUACUGGCGAUCUUGAGCAGUCCAGGGGCGAGCGGAACAAGCGGUGGAGCGGUGAAAUGCGUAGAUAUCGCUUGGAACGCCGACGGUGAAAACAGCUCGCUGGGGACUCGCUGACGCUGAGACACGAAAGCCAGGGGAGCGAACGGGAUUAGAUACCCCGGUAGUCC